rnacentral:lncRNA from 1 species
GAGAGCUGUACGAUAUGCACAACCUGCAUAAUUUUAUUGUUUAUUUUCCAGAGAGUGAGUGAGUGUGGGUAUGGGUCCUUUGGUAGGAAUUAGCAUCUUCUGGGUGUUUACUGUAUCUUUUACUGUUUACUUACAUGGUUUUCAUUUAUUUCUUUAAUAAUUCUGAGAAACAAGUAUUGUCAUCUGUAGUUUGCAAAAGCAAAAUUGAAUUUAGAAAAGUUAAGUAAUUUGUCUAAAGUUCAUAGCUGUUAAGUUGUGCCUUUUAAACCAGGUUUUGCUACUGAGGUUCAUCAAUGCAGAGUUCUAUCCAUAGAUUGCUUUAGAAUUCUAGCCCCAAAUACUUAACUCUAACUUUGAACCAGAUUUCUACAAAAAUAUCUUUAUCUUUAAAAUAAUAAAAAAACAGUGCAUACCCAGUAGAAGUGUUGUAGAGGUUAAAUAUGUAACGCACAGAAAACACAGUUUGGCAUUAGCAUUGAGAUAUAUGCUCAGUAUUGUUAGUUAAAUUAUUUUUCCACCUUCAAUUUUUUGACUUUUCAAGCAUACUGUUUCUGGAAGUCUUGAUGAGAAGAGUGUUGCAGAUCUGAACUGUAAUUCAGGGUGCUGAUGCAUUUGGAAGAAGGAAGAGUGAAGCAGUCAAGUGACAGGCUUAUGGUCUAGGGAGGCAGGGAGAAUCUGUAGCAAGUAGGUUCAAGUCGGUUGUUUGUUACAGUUCCUUAGAAUCAUAGGAAGCAGUGUGUCCUGAAGCAAUUCUCUAAUCCUCUUCUUUCUAAUUGAACAAUGUAAAGUAUUUGAAAAUAAGGGGGAGAUGAAGAAAUGAUGUAGGAGGUGUUUAUUUCCUGAUGGAGCACACCGAGGAGGUUUGUGAACUAGCUAUUUUAAGGCAGGGACUUGAUGUUACCUGAUGGGGUUCAUGAAUAUUGCAGGGUCAGUAUCAGAACUACUUGGUAGCCUGUAAUUCAGACCUGGAGUACCACUUAGAAGACAGGAAGUUAGGAUUUGUGCCAUAGUCUGAGAAAGCAUGUGUUUACUUUAUAUAUGAGACCUGGGCUCUUAAGAGAGCCAGACAGAGAAUCACCAGCUUGGUCACUCCUCCAUUCAUCGGCGCUUGUUUAGAGUCCCUGGAGCACCUGUUUUUUGAUAAAGAAAACAUUAGUGGAUGGAAACCGUUGUUGUGUGGGUCUCCUUCUCUAUUUGCAGUUCUGUAACACCUGCCCCUCUGUAACUAUAUAAAGGCAAGGAACACUUGGUCUAUUUAAAAAUAGUAAACUGCUUUCUGGGAAUUUCUUGGUAUGUGUUAAUGAUGUUUAAUUCCUAAACAUCAGUAUUGAUAAAUCCACAUGAGAUUUGUAAUUUGUUUUAAAUGCUACAGUACCCCUUCAAACCCCCUUUUAAAAAGACUGUCCUGGAAUUUAGUUUGAUAACCAGACUAAAUUUUUUUUUGUUGUUUUUUUUGUUUUGUUUUGUUUUUGUUUUUUGAGACCGGGUUUCUCUGUGUAGCCCUGGCUGUCCUGGACCUCACUCUGUAGGCCAGGCUGGCCUUGAACUCAGAAAUCUGCCUGCCUCUGCCUCCCGAGUGCUGGGAUUAAAGGCGUGCGCCACCACGCCCGGCGACCAGACUGAUCUUGACCUCAGAGAUUUGCUUUCCUCUGCCUCCCAAGUGCUAGGGUUAAAGGCCUGCCUGGCCAGGUUUUACUUGUAGUGAUAACUGGUUUGGUUUUGGCUUUUGUUCUUUUGCUUUUUAAAGAUUAUGUUGUUAAAUUCAGCAAUGAUUAACAGUAAGAGUUUUAUUUCCUCUUUUAAUCAUUUUCAGCAAUAGGCACAGCUUGCUGACAUUUACAGUGCCGGCUCACCAACUUCACCAUUGCACGGUUUCCCAAAAAGGGAGCAAAAGAUAUCAUCUCUGCAUAUUGUCCAAAUAACAUUUGGUGCUUAUCAGUGGGGGAGAUUAUUGUACUGUUAUAUGAACUAAUAUAAUUGAGUAUUUUUUGACUUGGGGUAUGCUUUGAUUAUCUCAUAUUAAGAAGCUGAUGUAAGGGCUGGAGAGAUGACUGCAGUUAGCCGUAGCAAAUAGCACUGGAUGAUUUUCAGAGGGGCUGGUUUUGAUUGUCAGCACCCUGGCAGCUAACAUUUGUCUGUAGCCCCAGUCUCAGGGGAUUUGACGUUAUCUUUUGCCUCCUCAGGCACCUGUCACUUGCACAUGGUACAUAGACAUACAUGUGGGCAAAACACCCAUACAU